CUGCGCCCUGCACACCGAUUGCAAGCACUGGGUUUACCUCCGAGCUGAUGUCUGUAAGAAAUAGUGGCAUAGCUAAUGCACAGAUACUAUGUAUUCAUACUUCAGUCAGCGCUGGAUGUGGGACAGCAAUCUCCAGCAGUGAGGGAGCAGGCUUCAAGAAAAAGCAGACAGAACAAUCUUCACAAUCCUUAGAUGGUCAGACUCCCUCUACUAUCAGCAGUCAGAAAGAUUGUGAUCCCAGGCUCAGAGGCAGAUCAGCUCCUUCCUGA
rnacentral:lncRNA from 1 species